rnacentral:tRNA from 1 species
GGGUAGCCUAGUGGACAUGGCAUCUGCUCGGUAAGCGGAACACUGUGGGUUCGAUUCCCAACCAACUAACCCA